AGAGUUUGAUCCUGGCUCAGGACGAACGCUGGCGGCGUGCCUAAUACAUGCAAGUCGAACGCUUUUUCUUUCACCGGAGCUUGCUCCACCGAAAGAAAAGGAGUGGCGAACGGGUGAGUAACACGUGGGUAACCUGCCCAUCAGAAGGGGAUAACACUUGGAAACAGGUGCUAAUACCGUAUAACAAGUAAAACCGCAUGGUUUUACUUUGAAAGGCGCUUUUGCGUCACUGAUGGAUGGACCCGCGGUGCAUUAGCUAGUUGGUGAGGUAACGGCUCACCAAGGCAACGAUGCAUAGCCGACCUGAGAGGGUGAUCGGCCACAUUGGGACUGAGACACGGCCCAAACUCCUACGGGAGGCAGCAGUAGGGAAUCUUCGGCAAUGGACGAAAGUCUGACCGAGCAACGCCGCGUGAGUGAAGAAGGUUUUCGGAUCGUAAAACUCUGUUGUUAGAGAAGAACAAGGAUGAGAGUAAAAUGUUCAUCCCUUGACGGUAUCUAACCAGAAAGCCACGGCUAACUACGUGCCAGCAGCCGCGGUAAUACGUAGGUGGCAAGCGUUGUCCGGAUUUAUUGGGCGUAAAGCGAGCGCAGGCGGUUUCUUAAGUCUGAUGUGAAAGCCCCCAGCUCAACCGGGGAGGGUCAUUGGAAACUGGGAAACUUGAGUGCAGAAGAGGAGAGUGGAAUUCCAUGUGUAGCGGUGAAAUGCGUAGAUAUAUGGAGGAACACCAGUGGCGAAGGCGGCUCUCUGGUCUGUAACUGACGCUGAGGCUCGAAAGCGUGGGGAGCAAACAGGAUUAGAUACCCUGGUAGUCC
rnacentral:rRNA from 1 species